rnacentral:lncRNA from 10 species
GUGGAGGUGAUGCAUUGUACUGGGGGGAAUCCCAUUCUUCCAUUCUGCCGGGAUUCCUCAGAGCCAGCAGUGGAACAGACUAAGUCCACUGAUCCGCAGAGGCUGUGGCUGCCCCUCCCCCAGGGGCUCCGUCCCAGGGAUUUCAGAGUUCUGUAAACCUCUGGCUGGAGUUCCUGAAGUUCCUGCAGAGUGGUCCUGGGAGCGGCAUCACUCCAAUAACACAGCAUCUAGAUCAUGGUUUCUGAAUGACCUUCAACACUAGAAAGAAUUGGGAUUUCCAGGUCCAAGGCAAGAAAAGGAUUUUCUAGCAAUUCUAUAGAAGAGUGAAAAGAGAUCAGUAGAAGAAAUAACUCAGUAGUCUGGACCUGCUCUCUCCUCAGGAUAUUGAAGAUAAUGAUGGAGAGCUCCAUUCCUGCAAAAAUUUAGCUUCAAAGAGUUCUGCUAAUGGACGAGAUACAGACACCUUCUAACCAGCAGGUGGCAAAGUGGGUUCCAGACACUGAAGUCCUGUGCUGGCAGCUGGAUUUGGAGCCAAUGUGCACAGAAGAGGAAAAGGAAAAAGAGAUGUGUGGGGAAACAACAGCAUCUGCCAAAGAAUGGAUUGAAGAAGAAAAAAGUAGUAAGUUGAAAUUCAGGGGAAUGGAUUUUUCUCCAGAAACAAAUAUAAAAGAAAACUUCAACAAAGGUGGAA